CUUGUCAAUCGCCCGCAUCUGGCCUAACCCAUCUCGCACGAGGACCUGGAGACGGCGGCGCAGGAGCGAGGACCGGGCGACGCCACCAGCGCGAGGACCUAGAGGCGACGCCGCCGGCGCGAGCUCAUGGAGGCGAAGCCCCGUCUUUGGUUGGUCGCUGUGGCCGCUCCCUCACGGCCCCGCCGACACCGGCGCGAGGCCCUGACGACGCUGACCCGAGAUGGAGGCCCCGCCUGCGCUUGGCCGUAGUGGUGUACCAACGCAGCAAGGUGGAGAAUACAAAUCAGAGGGCCAUCAAGUUCCCUACGUCCACACGACCUGACUCGCCCGCACUCGCCGCCGCCGCCUCCUCGUGUGCGCGGUAGACACAGUCAGCUCGAACGCCACCGCCCUCCUGUCCAACAAAAAUUUCAUAACAGUAUACUUUCACAUGUGGUCUACAAAUCUAAAAUGGGCCUGGUUUUUUU